UGAAACUGUGCGAGUGUCCAUUCUUACUGCUACUUAGAAAAUGUUUUCAACUCCAAAGAAUUUUUCUUGGAUAGUGGAUGGACGUCUUGCAGGCUUAGCACGCCCNAGUUCNCGAGCNGAACUCGAGUAUUUGAUAAGACAAGGGAUUAAGCAUAUUGUCUCNUUGACUGAAACCCCUUUGUCUGCAAGAAUUAACAUUGAUGGACUAGCUUUAACGUACUCACAUAUACCAAUUAAUGAUCUUACUGCGCCCAGUAUAGAACAAGUNAAAGAAUUUCUAGCGGUGGUGGAAAAUCAUCAUAAAAACAACGAGGCUGUUGCAGUCCACUGUCACUAUGGUCAAGGAAGAGUAGGAACGAUGCUCGCUUGCUAUUUGGUNGAAACAAGCAAUAUGUCUGCUCAUGAUGCAAUUCAUGCAAUACGGACAAAAAGACCAGGUUCAAUCGAGACUAAAAGUCAAGAAAAACUUAUAGCAAAGUUUUCAGAAUUGAACAAACAAAACAGAUAAUGCAGAUUAAUUCAUUCGAACACAGGGCUCCCAGCAAUGCCUGAGCGCAGUGACCCAAACAAUCUCGUAUGUUCACAAACUAUAUAUUUGACAUUCGGCAAUACUUCAAAUCGUCAUAUAUAAGUUACAUAUAUACAUAUAUAUAAAAUAUCAGGUUCCUUGAUAUAUGUCCUCGACAACAUGCCGCAGCAUCUGUUUCACCAGCAGUCCAACAUUUUAUUUUGUAACUUGCAAUAAAUUAUUAUUAUUUUGGUCUGAUUUGGUCAGUACUUGCAGAUAAACAUCUUGAUAUGCUGAUGGUUUCUUGGAAAAAACAUAAAAAUUCUUGAAAAAAUAUCAGAUAAGAAGGAAACAGUAUAUCAUGAAAAGCCGACGCGUGUGAUAGUAGAAAAUAUGUCAAAUAUUUCGAAGACGGGGUUCCUGUGUUUUGACAGUAAUGGCGGACACAGAGCUAGUACACAACAAAAUGAUACCUAAAAUACUCGUUUAAAAUGAGCUUCCUAAGUUGUCUUGUAAACAGAAAACUGACCUACAGACUAUAUUGUCUGUCCUCGCAAAUACCCAAAGGAUUUUGGUGGCUUAAACAAGGCAAACUCGCUGGUCUAGCCAAACCGAAGACGAAGUCAGACUUGGAACUUCUCAAGAACAAUGGCGUUACACAUUUAGUUUCUCUUACUGAAACGCUUCCAGAUCUACACGGAGUUGACAUAGAAAGUGUUCAUAUGCCAGUUCCAGGAGGAGGAAUACCAACUGUCCAGCAAGCUCACGAGUUUUAUGAUAUAGUAGAGAAAGUAGGAGCCAAUGGAGGUGCUGUAGCAUUACAUUGCGGAGAAGGACAGGGUCGAGCNAGCGUUUUGAUGGCAUGCUACGCCGUGAAAUCAUUUGCNCUUCCUGCCGAGGAAGCUAUCAAGAAANUACGCCAGGAAAGGCCUGGCGCUGUAGCCACUCAAGAAAGACAGAACAGAGUAAAGGAGUACGAAGACAGUUUGAAGAAAUGAUAUAUAUGUACAAUUUAUUGAAACUGUGCAUGUCAACACCCAUAACGUUCUGCAUCCGCCACAGCCGUUCGAUGGAAGCCUGAGCUCCAUCAAUUAAAGAAAACUACAAAGAUUAA
rnacentral:misc_RNA from 1 species